GUCGGAAUUAAGUUGCGCGAACGCAAAGUGUUUAAAAAAAAUUGGCGCACAGAAAGUAGAGUGGGUCUUGCUUAGAGCGAUUGCGUGUGUGCCCAAUGCAUACGUGGAUAAUGCAGGAGCACACAAUAUUCUCUCUGCAUGCACUUGUUCAGGUGUGUGUUCGCUUGUAUUUUAUCUACAUACGGCUUAUGCAUGGGGCUCUCACGAAUUUUUAGUAGCGAGACUUGCUUAGUUUUCUGUGCGCCCAUAUUCUUUACGCUUAACGUCCACGCAGUCGUAAGAGAACGGAGAGCAAGUCUUGCUUAGAGAUAAGAAAUUUGUGUAAUCGCAAUGCAUACGUAGGUUAAUGCAGAAGCACGCAUAUACAGACGUGUACAUACAUAUAUGCCGAUUUCCUCUGCUUUCUGUUUUAUCUACAUGCAUGGCGUUCACGAGCUCAUCUUGGGAUCGUUAUUCAGCCGAUUUUCUGUAACCCCAGCAGCCGUUUAAAGCCCUUUAUUUUUAAAUUAUUAUAAUUUCAUACUCGAAAAUGGUAGAACGUUACAAGAUUGUGUGACAUUUACGCCAGUUUUAGCUAUUUAAAUAUUUUCGCAAAUAUUAUCAUAAAACAAUUUGAAAAAUCUGCAGACUGUGUGGACUGUAAGCGCACACAAAACAGAUCAAGUCUAAUUUAAAGUAAAGAACGCAUGUGCACACACCUAAAUAUAUGGAGAUGCCGUCUGCUUGUACAUGUUUUUGCUUGUGUGUGUACUUGUACGUACCUAUUUGCGCAUGUGUGUGAUCGCUACACAAAACUAAUCUGCGUGAGCGGCCCAAAGAAACGGCACACAGAAAAGAGAACAAUUCUUGAUGCUGCUCACAAAAGUGCGGGAGAGCCCAACGCAUACAUAUACACGUGCACUUGCACGCUUUUGACGACUCGCUCUUCAUGUGUCUGUUUAUGCAUGUGUGUGAUUGCAUGUACGGUCUCUAGCUUUGAAUUGCGCUCAAUCGUAUUAAUGGGCUGCCUACUCAAUUUGCUCUCCGUUGGUUUUCGUCUACUUUUGUUGCGCUCAAAAUUGUUGGCUUUAGUUUAACGGCAGCACUCGAGUAGAGCUGUUUAAAAAUAUUAUACGUGAAAAUUCUUGCGUAAAUACCUUUUAAAUGUCAUAAAGGUGUAUUAAUUUCGGACUCGUACGGAUCGCGUGUAUCAUUUGAAAUUUGAAAAUAUUCGCUUAUCGAAAAAACAUGUAAUUUUUCAUUUCGUAAAAUAGUUUGUGAGAGGGCGAUGCAUAAGAAUAUAAUACACUAGGCAUAGACACAUACAAAUGCACGUACAUAUUUGGCGAUUAUAAUUAAAGAGAGGCCGAUGCAUGAGAACAUAAUACACUAGCAGGCAGAUACACAUACAUAUGUACGUACAUAUUUGGCUAUUAUCUCUGCAUACAUAUGUUAAGGUGUGUGUUUUCUGGAGUGAUAUAUACUUAUGCUUAUGUGUGUGGUUCGUGCGUUAUCUAGCUUUGAAUCACGCUCACACGAUUUUUGUUUACUGCGUUUCGUCUCAAUGAAGAAUUUAUCUUGUAAGCAUCAGCCUUUGGUCACCUACCUUUGCAUCGCACUCACUCAAGAUUUUAGCUGCUCAAUUUGUCGACUCUGCCUUCGCGCAGCAUAGAUCUGAUUUAGUUAACAGUCGUCGUCGGCUGUUAAAAACAUUUUGAGUGAAAAUUAUGGUAUACGUAUUCGGACUUGUACAGAUCGAUUCAAAUUAAAACGAGUCUCAAACGGUAUUUCCUUCAGAAGUUGGACCGCAUAACAAUAAUUCGUAUGGUUGAUAGCUAAAUGGCCUCUAAAUCCAUGGAUAGACACUUUACAAAAUAUCAUUCUAAAUGUUGAGCAGAACGGCAAGUGGUUUGGUGCUGAAAUAAAUAUGUUUAGUGUACUGCCAAUUUUAGGGGAUUUUCGAUAUGACGUAUAUUUUCAGAAACUAAUAUAUUAUUUUGGGUCUUUCAGUCGAAUCUGCCAUGAGCAUGGACAACAAUAUAUUUGGUACCCUUGGAUGCCUAGAUGUCCUAUAUAUUAUUGCUUAUUCCAUACCUUGGAUAAACAAAAAAUGUAAAAAAUCGUAUUCUAAAGUUUUUGGAUCUGUUAUAAAAUGAAAAUUGUUGAUGUUCUUUCGAUUUAAAGGACUUACACGGAACCUAAAAGUCACUUCUGCCACGCCCACGGGGAACAUAUAAUAAACAAAUAAUCUAUAAAUUUGGUACCUAGAUGACCUAUAUAUCCUUGGUUAUUCCAUACCAAGGAUAUAGUCCUAGCGAACCUAAAGGACCGAGCUAUUGCAAAAUACGCAAUACCAUGGUCCAAAAAAUUUUUUUACAGCCGCCCCCACCAUCAGCCUUGCCCCCUGAAUGGCUCCAUGUUGACUGUUUAUCCUUGGUUAUUCCAUACCAUCGGUAUAGUCCUUGGGAACCUAAAAGACCAGAUCCCUGCGAAAUGUGCAUUGAAAUGGUCCAAAAACAUGUAUGCUUUUUCUUUCAGCAGCCCUUGUACACGAGCUACAGCAUCAGCUGUUGCUUAACAUUCGCUUUUACAGCACUCUUAUUACAUGAGCCAUUACUUAACAGUACUCAUUUUAAAUGAGUUACAUUUCUGCCCCGUGCGGGUAUGCAAUGAAUAUUUUUAUUCGACGAUUUUCGUCGACCUUCUGGGCAUUUCUGUUCGCCUGGUAUUUCGGUGAAAUUUUAGUACAAAUUUGGGACCCAGCCGCCGAUGGGGGCGCCCCUUUCGGGUAUGCAACAAACAAAUUUCGACUGCAGAAAAAUUUUGUCGACGUUCUGGGCAUUUCUGUUCGCCUGGUAUUUUGGCAGAAUUUAAGAAAAAUCUCGGCAACCAGCGACCGUCAACGGACGCCCCUUUUGGGUAUGCAACAGAUUUUUUUUUUUU